rnacentral:RNase_P_RNA from 3 species
GUUUUCGGAUGACUGCGCGAAAUGAUACCCAAAGUUACUUUGAGCAUCUGUUUCGUGAGGAAAGUCCAGGCUCGUGCGGUGCUGAGAUGCCCGCAGUGAUUGUGUCAGGCGAACAAAUAAGCCUGAGUAGGAGCGUCACUCCUAACGGCGGAGAUGAGAGCUAAGGUUUUUACUAUGCUUGAUUUUCUGUAAAGUGCCAAAGAGACGAUGUCGGCUGGAAACAGUCGAAGUGGAACGUGGUAAACCCCUCAAACGAGCAACCCAAACAUAUGGUAGGGGCAUUCUGGCAGCCGAAUUGAAGGCGUGCCGGAGAUUGCGAAAGCAAUAGACAGAUGGUUAUCGAAUGUAAAUCUAAACAUUUACAGGAACAAAACUUGGCUUAUAGAA